rnacentral:rRNA from 1 species
CCCUUAGAUGUCCUGGGCCGCACGCGCGCUACACUGAUGCAUUCAACGAGUUUUUACCUUGGCCGAGAGGCCUGGGCAAUCUUUUGAACGUGCAUCGUGAUAGGGAUAGAUUAUUGCAAUUUUUAAUCUUGAACGAGGAAUUCCUAGUAAACGCAGAUCAUCAAUCUGCAUUGAUUACGUCCCUGCCCUUUGUACACACCGCCCGUCGCACCUACCGAUUGAAUGGUCCGGUGAAGCCUCGGGAUUGUGAUGAGUUCCCUUUAUUGGGAGUUUGUUGCGAGAACUUGUCUAAACCUUAUCAUUUAGAGGAAGGUGAAGUCGUAACA